GAAAAUGAUGGUUCAACUCCUUCCCUUAUUA
rnacentral:tRNA from 1 species